rnacentral:misc_RNA from 1 species
AUUUUCCAGGCAUUUUGCCUGAAAAACAACUCCAAAUGAUCCAGUCCCCACAAUACGUUCAGCCAUGUAGCUGACUGUCUGCUUUGGCUCACCAUUUUUACCUCCGAUGGUAGUGGAAAUUAUAUGACCCGUGACUCCCCCAUUCACAUCCAUAACAGGAGCAGACAUCUCCUUAUCAUCAGCCAUAAUUUUCCAGCUCCUAAUCA